GGUGUGGGGGAAGCCGUAGCGAAAGCGAGUCUGAAUAGGGCGAUUGAGUCGCGUGUCCUAGACCCCGAAGCGGAGUGAUCUACCCCAGGCCAGGUUGAAGCGCGUGUAAGAGCGCGUGGAGGACCGAACCCACUUCAGUUGAAAAUGGAGGGGAUGAGCUGUGGGUAGGGGUGAAAGGCCAAUCAAACUCCGUGAUAGCUGGUUCUCCCCGAAAUGCAUUUAGGUGCGGCGUCACGUGUUUCUUCCCCGGAGGUAGA
rnacentral:rRNA from 1 species